AAGGCUUGAACUUGAGUCCUUUUGCUUCCGUCUUCCCAGUAGCUGGGAUUAUAGGCCUGUACCACCUGGCCUAGCUUGGAAGACCUACUUGCAAGUGCCAUUUAUGUCACUCCCUAGCUCUGUGGCUUUAAGCAAGUCCUCAGAUUUAUUUAGAAGAGAAAUCUGUUUCUGUGUGUAUUUGCCACUGCACACACUUUGUAGGUGCUGAGAGUCAAACUCAGGUUGUCUGGCUUGCCAGCAAGUACCUUCACCCAUUGAGACAUUUUGCCAGCCUCUGUGAUCUCUUUCAUCCCGAGUUUCCUCAUCUGAAGGUGGCAAAGUGUCUGUUAGAAAACAUGAAGAAAAAGAAUAGUGCCUAUGCAGAGCACUGUGUAACCAAGAGCCCUGAAUAAGGAAUUCAUUGUAGUAGUGAAAGGGAAACUAAUGCUCUUCUGUGCAGAGUGGAAGGAGCGCUACCUUAGGGCAGUACUGUAGUACAUGCUCCUACCUCUGCUAGAGGUGUGUUAGUUGGGCUGGGAACUUACCAUGCAUGAGGCCCUAAGUUCUCAGAAUGCACAUGAAAAGCCAGGCGUGACAGUGGAUGCCUCUGAUCCCAACUGUGGGAAGCAGAGAAGGAAAGAGGCUUGGGUUUGCUGGCCAGCCAGUCUGAAUCUUUGCACUGCAGGUUAAGAACCUGUC
rnacentral:lncRNA from 1 species